GAUGAACGCUGGCGGCGUGCUUAACACAUGCAAGUCGAACGGUGAAGGCGGAGCUUGCUCUGCUGGAUCAGUGGCGAACGGGUGAGUAACACGUGAGCAAUCUGCCCCUGACUCUGGGAUAAGCGCUGGAAACGGCGUCUAAUACUGGAUACGAGCUGCGAAGGCAUCUUCAGCAGCUGGAAAGAACUUCGGUCAGGGAUGAGCUCGCGGCCUAUCAGCUUGUUGGUGAGGUAACGGCUCACCAAGGCGUCGACGGGUAGCCGGCCUGAGAGGGUGACCGGCCACACUGGGACUGAGACACGGCCCAGACUCCUACGGGAGGCAGCAGUGGGGAAUAUUGCACAAUGGGCGAAAGCAUGAUGCAGCAACGCCGCGUGAGGGACGACGGCCUUCGGGUUGUAAACCUCUUUUAGCAGGGAAGAAGCGAAAGUGACGGUACCUGCAGAAAAAGCGCCGGCUAACUACGU
rnacentral:rRNA from 1 species